AGUGAACGCUGGCGGUAGGCCUAACACAUGCAAGUCGAACGGCAGCACAGGAGAGCUUGCUCUCUGGGUGGCGAGUGGCGGACGGGUGAGGAAUACAUCGGAAUCUACUCUGUCGUGGGGGAUAACGUAGGGAAACUUACGCUAAUACCGCAUACGACCUACGGGUGAAAGCAGGGGAUCUUCGGACCUUGCGCGAUUGAAUGAGCCGAUGUCGGAUUAGCUAGUUGGCGGGGUAAAGGCCCACCAAGGCGACGAUCCGUAGCUGGUCUGAGCGGAAGAUCAGCCGCACUGGAACUGAGACACGGUCCAGAGUCCUACGGGAGGGAGCAGUGGGGAAUAUUGGACAAUGGGCGCAAGCCUGGUCCAGCCAUACCGCGUGGGUGAAGAAGGCCUUCGGGUUGUAAAGCCCUUUUGUUGGGAAAGAAAUCCAGCUGGCUAAUACCCGGUUGGGAUGACGGUACCCAAAGAAUAAGCACCGGCUAACUUCGUGCCAGCCGCCGCCGUAA
rnacentral:rRNA from 1 species